GAUGAACGCUGGCGGCGUGCCUAAUACAUGCAAGUCGAGCGAACGGACGAGAAGCUUGCUUCUCUGAUGUUAGCGGCGGACGGGUGAGUAACACGUGGAUAACCUACCUAUAAGACUGGGAUAACUUCGGGAAACCGGAGCUAAUACCGGAUAAUAUUUUGAACCGCAGGGUUGAAAAGUGAAAGACGGUCUUGGUGUCACUUAUAGAUGGAUUCGCGCUGCAUUAUCUGGUUGGUAAGGUAACGGCUUAUCAAGGCAACGAUGCAUAGCCGACUUGAGAGGGUGUUCCCCCCCUCUGAGGCUGACAGGCGGUCCUGACUCCGAGGUACGGCCGCGGUUGGUAAGCUUCCGCACUGGGCGAAAUCCUGCCGGAGCAGCGCCGCCUUGGUGAUGAAGGUCUUCGGGUCGUAAAACGCUGUUCUUAGGGAAGAACGUAUGUGCAUGUAACUGUGCACGACUUGCGGGUACCUGUAAAGAAGCCCCCGCCUACCUCCUU
rnacentral:rRNA from 1 species